rnacentral:rRNA from 1 species
AUUGAACGCUGGCGGCAUGCCUUACACAUGCAAGUCGAACGGCAGCACGGGAGCAAUCCUGGUGGCGAGUGGCGAACGGGUGAGUAAUACAUCGGAACGUGCCCAAUAGUGGGGGAUAGCCCGGCGAAAGCCGGAUUAAUACCGCAUACGACCUGAGGGUGAAAGCGGGGGAUCGCAAGACCUCGCGCUAUUGGAGCGGCCGAUGUCAGAUUAGCUAGUUGGUGGGGUAAAGGCCUACCAAGGCUACGAUCUGUAGUUGGUCUGAGAGGACGACCAGCCACACUGGGACUGAGACACGGCCCAGACUCCUACGGGAGGCAGCAGUGGGGAAUUUUGGACAAUGGGCGCAAGCCUGAUCCAGCAAUGCCGCGUGCAGGAAGAAGGCCUUCGGGUUGUAAACUGCUUUUGUCAGGGAAGAAAUCUUCUGAGCUAAUACCUCGGGAGGAUGACGGUACCUGAAGAAUAAGCACCGGCUAACUACGUG